rnacentral:rRNA from 1 species
GACGAACGCUGGCGGCGUGCUUAACACAUGCAAGUCGAGCGGACGGAGAACUUCGGUUCAAAGUUAGCGGCGGACGGGUGAGUAACGCGUGAACAAUCUGUCCCAGACAGGGGGAUAACAACCUGAAAAGGUUGCUAAUACCGCAUAAGACCACGUUCUCGCAUGGGAAUGAGGUAAAAGAUUUAUCGGUUUGGGGUGAGUUCGCGUCUGAUUAGCUAGUUGGUGAGGUAACGGCCCACCAAGGCGACGAUCGGUAGCCGACCUGAGAGGGUGAUCGGCCACAUUGGAACUGAGACACGGUCCAA